AUACGGAGGGGGCUAGCGUUGUUCGGAAUUACUGGGCGUAAAGCGUACGCAGGCGGACUGAUCAGUUGGGGGUGAAAUCCCAGGGCUUAACCCUGGAACUGCCUUCAAUACUGUCAGUCUUGAGUUUGGGAGAGGUGAGUGGAAUUCCUAGUGUAGAGGUGAAAUUCAUAGAUAUUAGGAGGAACACCAGUGGCGAAGGCGGCUCACUGGCCCAUUACUGACGCUGAGGUACGAAAGCGUGGGGAGCAAACAGGAUUAGAAACCCGAGUAGUCC
rnacentral:rRNA from 1 species